GCCCUGGGAAAGACGCAGCCUCGCAGGCUCCCAGACUGUUCCCCAAGGAGUCGAAUCUGGGCCACCAACACAUUGGGUCUGCGCUGAUGGGAGGAGAGAAGAGGGCAUGGACGAAGCGCUCCUAGUGCCUUAGGGCGCUGACCCUAAAGCAGCAGAAGGGAAAGCUUCCUGCAUUCCACUGGC
rnacentral:lncRNA from 1 species